GACGAACGCUGGCGGCGUGCUUAACACAUGCAAGUCGAACGAAGAGCGAUGGAAGCUUGCUUCUAUCAAUAUUAGUGGCGAACGGGUGAGUAACGCGUAAUCAACCUGCCCUUCAGAGGGGGACAACAGUUGGAAACGACUGCUAAUACCGCAUACGAUCUAAUCUCGGCAUCGAGGGUAGAUGAAAGGUGGCCUCUACAUGUAAGCUAUCACUGAAGGAGGGGAUUGCGUCUGAUUAGCUAGUUGGAGGGGUAACGGCCCACCAAGGCGAUGAUCAGUAGCCGGUCUGAGAGGAUGAACGGCCACAUUGGGACUGAGACACGGCCCAGACUCCUACGGGAGGCAGCAGUGGGGAAUCUUCCGCAAUGGACGAAAGUCUGACGGAGCAACGCCGCGUGAGCGAUGACGGCCUUCGGGUUGUAAAGCUCUGUUAAUCGGGACGAAAGGCCUUCUUGCGAAUAGUGAGAAGGAUUGACGGUACCGGAAUAGAAAGCCACGGCUAACUACGUG
rnacentral:rRNA from 1 species